AGACACACAGGCUACGGAAGCUGAAGUAGUAAUCACUACAGAGGCGGCAAAAAUCUACACACCAGAAAAUUUGCUCCAAUUUUCAGCUGCAGAUUUAUUUAUUUACUUCAGAGAGAGACAAUCUCGAGCAAGACUCUGUGCUGAGUUCGGAGGCUGAAGGCGGGGCUCGAUCCCAGGACCCUGAGAUCCUGACCUGAGCAGAAAUCAAGAGUCAGCCAGUCAGCCACUUCACCGACUGAGCUGCCCAGAGGCAAGGCCAUCUGCUGAAAAUGCAAAGGAGAAAGGCCUAAAACUAGAGCAGCAGGAACAUGCCUGGAUGAAGACUUCAGGAUUCUUCCAGAACAAUGUGAUGAAGACAGAGCAACAGGGUGACCUACAAUGUUGGCAGCAAUUAUGGAAAUAAUGAAUUAUAAAAUCUUAGCGGGAGGAAGUAAAGACUCGCGAGGACCAGUGGGUCUGGAGAAGGAUGGUCAGCCCUUUGGAAGGCCUGAUGAAUUUGGAUUAGCCGCUACUCAAGAGUUCAGUUUGUCAGUUAAUGUUAGGAAAUAAAGCUUAAAAUGUGUGUUAGGGUCUCAUUGUAGUAAGUCUUAAAUGCUAAGAUAAUAACUCAAAGAUUCACUUCAUUUCUGUUAGCAACAUUUCUGGAAUGCCUGCUAUAUUCGGGACACUUUCAUCGGCUAACGAUGCAAAGAUCAAUACAACCCACUGCUGAGAGGUUCGCUAAGCCACUCCAUGGUACUGCUGCCUCUGGAUCCAUUUUGUGUGGCCAAGUGGCCUGCAGGGGCCUUGCAUGACACCAGCCCCUCCGGCAAGCUCCUGUGGUGAGCAGCCGCAGAGCCACCCGCAAAGAAGCAAAGAAAUAUAAGUUCUCGGUAUCACUUCCCCAACAGCCCUUGUGAUCAAAUCUCCCUUGCCUUCCAGGGCCUGUAUAUAUUACGUACCCCUUAGAUAAGAACCCUUGUGGGGCAACCCCCCCACCCCCCACCUCUUUUGGUUUGAAUUGACCGGAUCAGACCCCAGCCCAGGAACCCCAAAGCACUCCACCCAGUCCCUAAUAAAGGCAUGUGCCUCUCUAGGUCUGCAUUCUCCCUUGACCUCCCCAGGUGGCCCCUCCAGGCAUGCCCUGUUCUUCCUCCAGGACCUAUGAGUAAUACAUUUCUCUAUUACAGUUUACUUAUUGGCCAGCUUUUGAACUAAGGCUCACCAGGCUCAUUGUUCUGUACUAGGUGCUCCACUUAACAAAUGUUAAUGUAACAAAGCAGAACACCCACCCUCUGCCUUCAGGGAAUUUACAGCAUGCUGGGAAGGGAGGAGUACAGCCAGUUAAGGUGCUACAAUGCAGUGAGUCAAGUUCUUUGUGACAGAUUAUACAAACAGGUUGAGAGAAAAUGUAGACAUCUAAUACAAUUGGUAGGGGUAUCAAACUCUGGGACGGUUUCUUGAAGGAUGAAUUAAUAGCGAGGAAAAGAGUCAGGUAAGGACACUGCAGGCAGAAGUAUACUUUGAGGAACAGCAAGAGGUGAAGAAUAGACUAACUUUAAAGUGAUGUUAAUAAUAGUAAAGAGCUACUAUCGAUUUAGCAGUUACCAUGUGCUAGGUAGGAUAUGACAAAGUUAAUACCAUUACUAGCUCCAUCUUACAGGUCUGGAAGUGGAGGGGUUCUUAAGGAGGACGAGUGACUUACCAAGGACCACCAGUGAGUGAGCUUGUGGUCAGAGCUCGAAUCCACAAUGGCUGGUGUUAAUUCUUUCUUAUCCCCUCUAGGAGAGGGAAGGGGAGAAGAGGUAGCAGAUGAUGCUGGAGAGGCAUAUUUUGUAAGGUCUUGUUUCUUAAGUUAUGGGAGUUCUCACUGUCCCAAAGGCUACAGGGACAGUUAAGAAUUUUAAUCAAGAUGUGACAUGGUCGGAUUUUCAGUUUAGGAAGAAUCGCAUGAUAAAAAAAAAAAAAAAAGGCUUUUCCCGAACUGGAACUGGAGGCUGGAGUGAUCAGUUAAGGAGCUGAAGUCCUGCUGGAGAGCUAUAACAGGUACUAAGAGAAUGAAAUGAUAGGCCUGGGAAACCAACUAGAACUGAGUAUUAGAGCCCCGGCAGCUCAGAAAUUUACACUGAGGGACACCUGGGUGGCUCAGUGGGUUAAGUGUCUGCCUCCAGCUCAGGUCAUGAUCCCAGGGUGCUGGGAUCGAGUCCUGCACUGGGCUUCCUGCUUAGCGGGGAGUCUGCUUCUCCCUCUCCCCCUGCUUGUGCUCUCUCUCUCUCUCUCAAAUAAAUAAAUAAAACCUUUAAAAAAAUUUUUAAAAAUUUACAUUGUGAAGGUAAAAUGUGUAUUUCUUAGCACAGUUUGAUACAUAGUAAACAUAUAAUAUAUGAUAGCUCUACAGUUAUUCUCCAAAUUCUGAGAACACAGGAGACAUAUCUGAGCGGGAGGAAUUGAAGAGUUUACUUUUAAGUGUGCAUUCAUUCACUCAUCAAAUAUUCUGUGGAGCUUACCACAGUCACUGGGCAUAUAGUUGUGAUCAAAGCAAAGUCUGUUCUUACAGAACUUACAUUCUAAUGAAGAGGGGCAGAUACUAAACAAUAACAAGGUAAAUAUGUUAUAUCAGAUGGCAGGUGUCAUGGAGAAAAAUAAACCAGGAAAAGGGAAAUAGGAGGUAUCCCAGGUAGGAUGAGGUACUUUUUUUUACAUGAGUUUAUUUUUGUAUUGCUUAUUUAUUUUUUUAAUUUUUAAAAAUGUUCUAAAGAUUUAUUUAUUUGUUUGGGAGACAGAGAAAGAGAGAGCCGGCAGGGGGAAGAGGGGCAGAGGGAAAGAGAAACUUAAGCAGACUCACACAGAGCACAGAGCCCGACGUGGGGCUCAAUCUCACGACCCUAAGAUCACGACCUGAGCAGAAAUCAAGAGUUAGGCGCUUAACUGACUGUGCCACCUAGGCACCCUGGUAUUGAACUUGAAGUGACUCAGAACAGCUAAGGUGAUUCCAAGGAGGCAAGUGGACAUCCCGUACAGGUACCGAAAGGAGUAGUGAUUCAUCUCUGAGAUAAAUAAUCUAAAGGGAGCAUGGUAUCAUCACCAAAACCAAGGAAAAUCUAUUCACUGUUUGACCCAUAGCAAGAUAACAGACCAGAAUCAAAAUGUGUUCACUGGAUUGAGAAGUCACUGGAGAUCUUUCCCAGAACGCAGUGGGGAGCAGACAGUAAGAAAGGAAACAGGCACCUUUUCAAGAAAUUUGACUAUGCAGAGAAGAACAUGGGCUAGUCCCUAGAGAGCACUAUGGGGUCAGUGGUGAACGUGUUUUCCUCUUUUUAAAAGAUGAAACAGAUCAGUUGUGACAUAUUGAACAAUCUGAGGAAGAAAGGGAGUGAUUGUUAGAUCAAGGUUCUUGAGGUGCAGAGAGAUUAACCACGCCCAGGAGAGGAAUCUCUUAAAAGACUACAAAGGGAAAAUAUAAGUAUAGCAUAUGUAAAUGUAGUUUGAGUGAGUCUGAUUUUAAAGCUUGAUGAUCUCCAUUUUCUCUGGGAAGAGAAAUUAUCUCUUGUCGUGAGUGGGAAAAGGUUAAGAAGUUCGAGGAAACUGGAGGUCAUUAGAGGUUUAAAUGUAGGUGAAUGGGGAUCAGAGGUGCCUAAAAGUAAGUAGAAGAGUUUUUCCCAGGGGCACCUGGCUGGCUCAGUCGGAAGAGCAUGGGACUCUUGAUCUUGAGGUUGUGAGUUCAAGCCCCACACUGAGUGUAGAGGUUACUAAAAAAUAAAUAAAUAAAAAAACUUGAGAGUUUUUCUCAGAAAGUCCUGCUAAUGUUGAAGAUAAAAUGCUCCACAAAAGUAGAGAUUCUGUGCUUUAGAGAGUUGGCUUUCACAGUUCAGCCAGAGGCAGCAUGGAAUGAGAAGGGCCGAGACAAUAAAUAGGACAAUUACAGAAAGAAUUGGCAGGCAGGGCUAGAGGACUGGUCAAAAGAGUCAGAAGCCCACAACUUCGAGGGGGUAAGAAUAAGGCAGAGAAUAGAGAACAUAUAAGUACUUAACGUUCUGAAUGGUAAUCAAGAGUGUCAAGAGAAGAUUAGCUGGUCUCAAUUUGAACUAAUGUAUUAAAAUGUACCUUUACCAGGGUGCCUGGGUGGCUCAGUCAGUUAAGCAUCUGACUCUUGGUUUCGGCUCAGGUUGGGAUCUCAGGGUCAUGAGAUCAAACCCCUCACCCGCCCUGCCUUGGUGCUCAGUGUGGAGUCGCUUGAGAUUCUUUCCCCCUCCCUCCUCCUCAGGCCUCCUUCCCCACCCUCCCACCCCUGUUCAUGAGCUCUUUUGCUAAAAUAAACAAAAUCUUUUUUAAAAAUUAAAAAAAAAAUAAAUCUACUUUACCAGAAACCUUUUAAUAGCCAUUGCCUCUGGGAAAUGAAAAGGGGCCAAAGGUUAGACUGGGAGACUUUUUACUUUUUACAUUUUUUCAUACUGUUAGGAAAAGAUUUUACACCAUGAACAUAUGUCACAAUCAUUAAAAAGCUAGAGAGGGGUGCCUGGCUGGCUCAGUUGGUGGAGCACAUGACUCUUGAUCUCAUGAGUUCAAGCCCCAUGUUGGGUGUAGAGAUAACUUAAACAAAAAAAAAAUGAGAGUAUGUUUUAACAGGUUAUGUAGUUAUCUGGAGUAUGUAUGUAUGUAUGUAUGUAUUUAUUUUAAAGAUUUUAUUUAUUUAUUUGAGACAGAGAGAGAGAGAACACGAGCUGGGGUUAAGAGCAGAGGGAAAGGGAGGAGCAGAUCCCAAGACCCUGGGAUCAUGACCUGAGCUGUAGGUAGAUCCUUAACCAAAUGAGCUGCCCAGGUGCCCCUAGAGUACAUAUUUAUAAAGAAAAGCAUUGAUACAGUGAGAUUUUAUGGCUGAAAGAGGAAAAUUAGAAUCUAAGGAUCCUACCUCAUUUUCCACUCUAAAACUCUCAAAUUAGCCUGUAAACUUGGAUUUCCUGACACCCUCUCUCUUGUUUUCCUCCACUCUAAUUCACUUAGGGCUCAACGUGAUGCCAACAUAUUUCAGCAAGAGAAAACAGUUAUCAAGAGAAUGAAUUUUAGGGGCGCCUGGGUGGCUCAGUUGGUUAAACGUCUGCCUUUGGCUCCAGUCCUGAUCCCGGAGUCCUGGGAUUGAGCCCACAUCGGGCUCCACGCUCAGCGGGGAGCCUGCUUCUCCCUCUCCCUCUGCCUGCCACUCUGCCUACUUGUGCUCUCUCUCUCUGUCAAAUAAAUCACUAAAAUCUUUAAGAAAAAAAGAGAGAGAAUGAAAUUUACACAGCAUAGAUUUCUCUAACUCAGUUGUACAGGUUGGGAAAUGUCACUGAGGAUCAUGGAGGAGGACUCUAGGAGCUGGUAAAAGUUACAUAGUAAUGAUAACAGGGCAUUCUUAUUAAGGGAGCUAAAAGUCUAAGCUAUUUGGAAGGUUAAUCUGGACAAUUUCCAAAGUCAACUGUUUACCUUAUCUAUCCUUUUCCAGUUUUACAUGACCCUAGCUGAAUCAAAUAACAAUGUGUGAUUUUUAUCUAAAACAUGCAGAAAACAGGGGCGCCUGGCUGGCUCAGUCAGUAGAGCAUGUGACUCUUGAUCUUGGGGUCGUGAGUUCAAGCCCCACGCUGGGCGUAAACCUUACAUAAAAAACACUUAAUAAAUAAACAAACAAACAUAAAACAUGCAAAAUACAGAGGCGGAUAAAUGAAAGGGGGAUUCUGCCUUAGAGUUUCACUACCUAGGUCUAUAGUGAUUUAGCCAGCCGCCAAGUUGUUGUGUUGCAGGACAUACAAAAAAGUGUGCAAGUAUUUAGGACAAUGAGGAUUAUGCUUUCACAUCUGAAGGUAGCAUUUGUUAUUAGAGCACUCGUUGAGCAAGAUCUUGGAAAAUUAUCUUAAUAUUUAUUCCACACAGUUCUUAUGCUAUCACUGGAUUUCAAAAUGGGAGUUUUAUAUAUUCUUUGAAGAACCUAUUAACUGGAAUGCAGGACUAGGCUAAACAGAGAUGAGAAAAUCGAUGCUGUAAGCUGAGCAGGCCUUUACAGCAAUCAGCCAAAUUUUGUAAAGGAUUGCUUUUAUUAAAUGGUUUACAAGGCUUUUAUUUAGAUUUUCCUUUGAUUUACAAAUCUGGUUUAUAGAUCAAAGUUUUCCUUAACUUUGCCAAUUCAAAUUUCACUACUCUAUCUUGUUUACUUGCGACCCUAGUUUUUAGGGCAGGUGGUUUGCGGAGAGAGCUGAUACCACCGGUGGCUACCUGAGGGCUUUGCUUUGCUUUACGUAAGGUAUCUUUCUCGGUAUAUGCAGGAAUUCCCUUGCUACUGCCAACUGCCCCCUCUCCUCUUUGUUAUUUGUGGAGGCGUGCUGGGAAAGUCUUGAACUUCUCCACUCCUCCGAAGCACAGAUUUUACCGCUAUUUAUAUGUGGGACUGAAAUGCAUUAUUGACAUAUGCCAAAGGAUUUUUUAGCAUCGAAAACGUUUCAGCCCCUGUUAAUUGGCUUCUCAGGAAUUUCUUACUGUAUUUUUCUGGAUUUUUCCACCAAACCUAUUUUUCUUAUUUUGAUAGCAAAGGGUAAUUUGUUACAGAUACAGGUGUAGAGAACUUGGCUUUUUGUCUUAGCCCUCUUGAUAAAUGAUUCCUGAAUUGCUCCUUCAUUUAAUGUCCCACUAUGGGACUUUCACCAGGUUUGAAAAGCAUGUAUUCAACAAGAGGCGUGGCAACCAUUCUCCUUGAAUGAAUGGUGCCAUAAACACAAGAGUCUACAGACCAACUGAAUAAGCUAAUUCAGCAAUUGCCUAUGUAUGCUAACCAGCUGAGGGAUAUUUCAAUGGCAUUUUUUUAAAGGAUGAUAUAUUUUAUAAGAAUUAAAGAGCUUAAAAUAAUUACAAUGGAAUGCCAAGUCACUUAUUUUUUAGUAUGAAGAAAUACACACUUGGGCAGUGUUUGAAGUUAAUUGGUUCAAGCAGUAUUACUGGUAGUGGUAGUGGAUAAAAUCAUUGGCCUUUCAAUAUGUAAAUAAAAAAAAGAGAGAGAGAGAGGAAAGGAGCAAAAUUCUAUUUAGAAUUUAUCCUUAAAGAUGCAACAACCAUCAAGACCAAUUCUAUGAGUAAGGCUGGAAAACUGCCAUGGUAUUAAUAUUAAAUUGUUUUUAUACAUUAAAAGAAAUAUUGUCAAGAAAAACUAUUUUAAUAAAUUAUUUAAAUACAGAGAAUGGUACAUCAUUUAUAUGGUGUCAUUGAGCAAAUAUGUCCAAAUGCUUUCAAGGACACAGUGGUCUUAGUGGGAAAUGUGCUUGUUCUGGAUAGCAUACAGAGCUAUUCAGUGUUUUUCAAAACACAUGUUUAAAGAUACUGUUUUGUUUGUCAGUAUGCAUCCCUUGAACUGGUAUCACCUUAAAGGUAUUAUCAUAUUACAAAAUAUAAAUGGACCUUCUUUGAUAUAUCUCAUCUGGAACAUUGCCUAGAUGUAGUAAAACAAUUUUCUAUCAGAAAUACCUCAGGGGAAAGGCACCCGUGAAUGGAGAGGCACACAUCUUCUCUGAAUGCAGUUGUGUCUGUGCAAUUUUCUUCUCAUUGCCAAAUUAGCUGAGAAAAAAAAAGGGAAAUAUUAGGAGCAUUUUUCAGAAAAUGAACUGUUGUUUAAUUGGGAGAAUGUGAAGGGACAUUUUGCAUCCAAACUAUGUUGUGAUUAUUUGCUACCUGUUCAGAUGUGAUUGUGACAUAAAAAUUAAUGUGAUGCAAAAACACGAAAUAUAUUCCUAACAGCUCAUGUUUAUAGCAGGAUCUAUUAGUAGUAACCUCCUCCUUCCACAUGACUUCUUCCUAAAUGCUCUUGGACCUUUCAUCUUACGUAAUGAAUCAAUCACAGAUAUUUUAUAAGAACAUUGUCCAAGGUGUUCUGUAGUUCAGAAAAGUUUGAUUAGCAAUUGCUAUAAACUGUAAGAAGGGGUCAGCUGUUUUCUGAAUUGCUGAUUUGCACAUUCUCUCUUAUUUAUGUACAAGGACAAACUGGGGGACGUCAUUUGAAAUAACCUCAGUGAUCAAACUUCUGAUUAACUAAAAGGGAGAGACUGAAUUUUUAACCAGUUAUGCACCCUUUUCUGCUCCAAAUGGAGAAGUAUAUCACCAACUGAAUAAUAUAAUGUAUUUGGAAUAAA